GCCGCUUGGCCCGUCCUGGUUUACCCGACUCAACCUGAUAGGCCGAAACUGCGGGCGAACCAGGAAAGGGAGGCGUGGUUCGGCGGGAAUCCAUUCCAGGUUGACUCCACCAGCGAGAAUCACAGACGGAGUUUCACUCUUGUUGCCCAGGCUGGAGUGCCAUGGCGCGAUCUCAGCUCACUCCAAUCUCUGCCCUCCGGGUUCAAGCGAUUCUCCAGCCUCAGCCUCCCGAGUAGCUGGAAUUACAGGCGCGCGCCAACACGUCCGGCUAAUUUUCGUAUUUGUAGUAGAGACGGGGGUUUCGCCACCUUGGCCAGGCUGGUCUAGAACUCCUGACCUUAGGUGAUCCACCCGCCUCGGCCUCCUAAAGUGCUGGGAUUACAGGCGUGAGCCACCGCCCCUCACGCCUGGCUAGUUUGUCCUUUUCAUGGGGACUUUUUAUUGUACGCGGGUUACUCUGAAAAAGAUCGCGAUUCGUCCCCUCGCCCUGCAGGCGCCGCUGCCGCCUCGCCUCGGGCGUGGACCCUGCGGCUCGGGCCUGCGCGUGUGCACCCCGAGGUUGUCUCACUUCCUGUUCAGGGCGACCAGCGCUGCGCCCUCCCCACUCCACAGAUGAGGAAGCUGAGGUUAAAGUCACUUGCCCCAGGUCACUCCGCAAGUUGAAGCGCAACCAGGAUACUCUGGAACAGGAUGCCUGACUUCAGAGGAGAGGCGCGUAACCACCAGGCAACUGGCCCCACGAAAACAAGUCCCGCAACUUCCCUUCUUUGGCUCCUACUUGCUCCCGGAAGAAAAGCCUUAAACGGUAUUCAAGCCCUUUAGGAUCUGAUGUCCUAGGACUCCACUCUGGGCUUCCAGCCUGGGGUGGUACUGGUCCCUAGGCAUGGAAGCUCCUCCCACUGCCCCUUCCUUCACCCGGCCACCUCCUCCCACAGGUGUCUUCCUGGUACUCUUGCACAGGCCCGAGUCCCUUACCACCACGGCCUUAGCCUGCUCUCGUGCUCUCAGUAAUGUUUUCUCCAUUUGCUGCCUUUCAUUCUUUCCAGAGAUUCUUGCUCAACCCAACCAGGCCAGCCCGGGGACUAGGGACAUGUAGGGACAAUAGUCCCUGCUUCAGGCAGUUCAGGGCAGACCACAGAGAUGUGACAUUACAGACCAUUGUGAGCAGAGGCCUUGUCCCAUUCUGUGUUGCAUCCCUAAGCCAGGAACAAAGUCCAGCCCAGGCCUGGCUCCAGGGGACACGCAGUAGUAUCCUCUGGCCUGUGCAAGUGUAUCUGUAGCCUCACAUGCCACCAUGUGAGUCUGCAAUCUGUCUGUGAAUGCCCUGGUGUAGAAGCCAGGAGUUUGGAGGUGGGAGGGAGCCCUACAGAAUGAUAGCCAGUGCUAACUCCUGGGAAUGUCCAGCCACUAAGACCUGCCCACAGCCCUGCCAUGCCAAUGUCCUCCUUUUCACGGGAGCAGCUUGCACAGACUUUCAGCGCACAGCUGGCAUUGUCUUCCCAGGAGCCAUCCUGUAACCCAGGCCAGGUGAAGGGCUCCUCCCUGGGACCCCACAGCCCCGUUCCCAUCAUCCUUUUGUGGUGAUCAAGGCACCCAUCACACAGUAUUGCCAUAAACCGGGUCAGGUUAACCUUUCAUUCCCUUAGGAGCUGGGUGGGGGCAGCCAAAAGUAUUUGUAGGAGGAAGAGAGAAAGGAGGGGACAGAGCUAGGAAGAAUGGGAGGACGGUCAGAACGCCCCUGUGAAGGAAGGAGAGCACCAAGUCCCCGUGUUCUGCCUACCCUCCCCCAGACAGCAGAUCAGGAGCACCCCGCGCGCCCCCCCCCGCCCCGCCCCGCGUCGGCGCCGGCCCCCUGCAAUGGUUGGCGGUAUGGGGAGGUGAACCAAGAAGGCCAGGAGUUCAAGUGCGUGAUCCCCCACUGGGGCAUAUAGGUUACAGCCGCCAGGGCAACUGAAACUCCUCAGGCUCCAGAGGGCUGAAGUGAGUCGCCUC
rnacentral:lncRNA from 10 species